GCAUUAUCAGUGCCUCCUCUCUGCUGUUGACAAUGAAGUGCUGCACAGUCAGGAAAAAGAAUGUCAAGAGCUUUUUUGGCCAUCUUGUUGAGAUGAUGUUCAGCCAGAAAAUAGAGGACAAAAAGACUACUCAAGGCCAUUGAAAACAUAAAAAUCGGGAAAAAAAAAUUAAAUUAGUUGACAAGAGCUGAAGAAGUUUCUGACGAGAAG